rnacentral:misc_RNA from 1 species
GAUGAAGAACGUAGCAAAAUGCGAUAAGUAAUGUGAAUUGCAGAAUUCAGUGUAUCAUCGAAUCUUUGAACGCACAUUGCGCCCGCCAGUAUUCUGGCGGGCAUGCCUGUUCGAGCGUCAUUUCAACCCUCAAGCACAGCUUGGUGUUGGGACUCGCGUUAAUUCGCGUUCCCCAAAUUGAUUGGCGGUCACGUCGAGCUUCCAUAGCGUAGUAGUAAAACCCUCGUUACUGGUAAUCGUCGCGGCCACGCCGUUAAACCCCAACUUCUGAAUGUUGACCUCGGAUCAGGUAGGAAUACCCGCUGAACUUAAGCAUAUCAAUAAGCGGAGGA